CCCACAGCACGUUGAGCUGCUCACCUAUCAAGGUGUUGAGAGUGCGGAGCAACACAUCCGGGGAGGUUUUUCAAAAUAAAAGGAAUUCUAAGCGGAGCAAUUUCGUGUUUGUAUCAUAGCUAAGAUUUGAAGAAGCUUUAAAGACGUUCCUGAUGCCGGGGGAGAAGACGAGCAGCUUUGUACCUUUGUGGUAAGAAGACUGUGGCCGUUUCUCAGUACGUAACUGUCCGUACUUGCGUUCUCACGAACUCCUGAAACGUUAUCAUCGAGACUGCAUCGGACCAGAAUAGUGUUUAUAGAUAUGAAUCAGUAGAUAGAUAGAUAUCUAUGGCUGCAGCUCACAGUGAACAGGAGGAUUUUAUUAGAGCUAGUCAGACACAGUCACACAGAGAAACAUUAGAGCUCACACUGAAACGGAGCUACACCUCUGUGUCUUGGACAGGAUUUAUUUGAAAAGCUACAUGUGUGACGGUAAUAAUACCUGCCAGAGCAGACCUCAUUAGCACUUCCGCUAGGCUGGCUAACUUCCGGUCAUUCCAGGGAUGCUGUUGUUGGUAAUGUAGCCAGAAUAUGGAUUAAUUUUUCGUUUGGGCUUGACAAAGAUGAGAACAAAAAUAUUCAGAGCAAGUGGAGCAACUAGCUAACGCUUGUUAGUUUGAUUUACAUUUUCGAAGUCACAUUUUUGAAAUCACGUAAUUUUUCCGUAAUACAAAACGGCUUUUAUUUUGUCAUUUUAUAUGAUUAAGAAUUCAGAUUAACACUAGAUGAGGUAUCAGUUCAUUGAGUAUUUAAGAGGUAGUUUUUUUUCUUUUCAAUUAUCUGUAUUUAAAGUGAUAUUAAAAUAUAAUUGUAAUGGUACAGCAGCAACAGAAGAAACGACCAAAUAUACAAAGGAAGUGCAACUGUUUUAAUAUGAAAAAAAAAUCUAUCAGAACACUGAUAAAGUGCAGCUAAAGUUAAGUUAGCGAAACUACGGAUAAGCAACGUUUCUUUUACUUCCAGAAAAAUAAAAGCCUCAUAUUUGCUAUUCAUUAAAAAAAAAAUCACUACAAGCAACACUUCCACCAAGUUUGUUUUAGUUUGUUGGUAUUUAUCGGUGGAACAGCAGCACAUUUUCCACAGACAGUUUUACUGUCCGUUGUCUUGUUUUAAUCAGUUUUCAGUUCAGUAAUUCAGCCCUUCGGCUGAUUGGACCAACAGACACUGAAGGACUCCGACAGCUGGUCGGUAAUGUAUGAUAAUUUACUGAUCGAUGCCGGUUUUAAUGAACUUUAUCUUCAACUUUAGAAUCAGAUAUAAUGUGAGCAGUCAACCACAGGAGUUGGUGGAGUUUAAUUGUGUGUGUUGACAAGAGAAGAGAGUUAGCAUCCAGUGAAUAUUAGCUUUAAUGUGAAUUAGCGAUGCUAACCGAGCUAGCUGACCAGUCCUGAUUAGUAGUUAAAUGUAGCAUCAAGCUAACGAUGUUUGUGUUGUUUCCUGUCAGCAGCUGAAGUGUGUUGUGUUCCUGUAAUCUGAUUCAUUAAGUUCAUAAAACUGUGGAUGGUUGAUGUUAAAGUAAAAAUCGGGAAUCUUAAAUGUGAUUCAAACAGUAACAUUAAUGUUCUAGUUGUCAUUAAUCAGCUUUAAUUUGACACUAAAACAGACUGUGAUAGUUUUAAAUGACAUCAGUUUCAUUCAUUUGUUGAAAAUUGUCUCAUUUGUUGUUGUGAUGUUGCUGCUGAUUCAUUUAAAACCAGAUGAUCCAUGUUGAAGACAUGUUUAAUUGUAGUAUCAGAAGUACAAGAAGGAAAAUGGAAGUUUAGUUUUGCUACGUCAAAGAUUUCAGGAAUAAAAUAACUAAAUGAACCUUUAUGCCUCCAACUUUAUUUUACAGCAAUGAAAUAAUUAAAUAAUCACAGAUAAUAAAAUAUAAAUAGCAGAGAAAACCUGAGAGACGUCAUAGUAUAGCAUGUCGCUCUAAUAACAUCAUAGUGUAGUUUGUCGCUCUAAAAACGUCGUAGUAUAGCGUGUCGCUCUAAAAACAUCAUAGUAUAGCAUGUCGCUCUAAAAACGUCAUAUUAUAGCAUGUCGCUCUAAAAACGUCGUAGUAUAGCAUGUCGCUCUAAAAACGUCAUAUUAUAGCAUGUCGCUCUAAAAACGUCGUAGUAUAGCAUGCUGUCCAUAGGGCUGGACCCGAAUAUCCGGAAUAUCCGAAUAUUCGUUUGCUACGGCGGUAUCCGGAUAUUAAUUUUGGUAUCCGAAUAUAUUUUAAACUAAUAAUACUAAUACUUUGGCUCUGAACCUUUAUCUACCUGUGGUCGCUCUGUCUUCUGGAGUGAUUUGAUUGGUUAUAUGUCAUGAAUAAAACGCCUUUAACAUCUGUAAACAAAACAAAAUGUAUCAACAAAGUUUUCUGUUAGAGUUUGUGUUCUUCUAAGUUCAACUCCAAGAUUUUAAAUACUUGCAUUUACUGCAAAUGAAUAUCUCCUCCAAAUGUCUCACUAAUAAUCAUUAUCAGCCUUAAAAACCCACAAAACACCCCUCUAUACUUGACCACAUGUAGUACAGUCCGGUUCCCCCUUCCAUAAAUCUGCUUGGAAUCUUCCACUUCCUGUUUGUCAAAGUGGGUUCUACCUAGACAGGUUUUGUUGGAGCUCAUGCAACAAACAUUUUGGGUAACUGCACUUUAAUAUGUUUUAAUGAGACUGAGUUUAGAUGUGUAGCUCUGUCAUUAAAUAGGAAAUUAUUUCUCAGAAUUACCGGAGGAAAGUCUGAAAUAUUUGCUAGGUUAGCGUCCCACAUGUUCUUUGGCUCAGCUAAAGCUAACUCUCCAGAACUUCUGGAUCUCUUGAGUUGCUUGUUCCUAAAAUAUCUUGCUAGAGGUGCUGAAGCUCAGAAAGUCUGAGGUGUUUGUUCAAAAUAAGCUCAUUCUUAAGUCUUAUCUGAACUGUCCUCUUUUGUUUGAACUUUCCCAAAACUUAGGAGUUAAUGAAAGAGCAGCACAUCCAGACUCAGUCUCAUUUAUGUAGAGAUUAAACUUCAGUGUCAUUCACUGAUGUUAAAGUGCAGUUUUUCAAAUGUUUGUUGCUCAUGCUCCUGACCAAACCAGUCUAAGUGGACGACGAUGUGAAGAGAAGCUCCAGAGGAUGAAUAUCACACAUUUAUGUUGGAAAUAAAUGUCCUUCAGUUAGACAUUGCCAUGCAAAAGUUGGAUUUCCCUUUAAUGAUGUUCAAAACCUUGAGUGUUUUGUUGAUGUUGAUUUCUAAAUGAUUUUUAACACUCAGCCCCAAACAUUAAAACCUUUUAUGGCUGACAAGCUGCAACAAUUGACACAUUAUCAACUAUCUUUCUGACUAAACUAAGAUAAAAAGUGAAAAUCUGCCUGAUUCCUGCAUCAUGAAUGUGAAUCUUUUUGGUUUUUAUGACAUUAAACUGAAUAUAUUUGGGUUUGACAUUUUAUAAACCAAAACAAGAAAUGAAUUACUGGAGAAAACAACAGAUUAAUGGACAAAGAAAAUGUGUUUUUCAACAUAUAUGGCUGAAUUACUCCAUUACAAGAUACAUACAAUUUAAAUUCAAUUUUAUUUAUAUAAUGCAAAUAACAGGUCAAAUUUCUCAAGAUGCUUUAUUUUUAUAUAUUUUUUGUCAUAUUUAAAAUUUGACAAAGUAAGAAAUUUAAACCUCUUGACUAAUCCAAUUUAUUAUUUGGUUUUUAAGAGAAUCGACAAUUAAAAUAACUUUCUCCACUAAAACUAAUAAACAUGAGGUCAAAUAGAAGGAACAGUUUUAAAUCCUGCAGUCCCAUGACGACAAGAAUGAAGUUUCCCAACAAAAGCUAAAUCUGCUGGUGGAUUCCAUUAAAGUCCUAAUAAAUGAUAAUAAAGUGUGAUACUAAAGGUUUGUGGUGCUAAAAAUCUCACAGUAAAGAUAUCAAGUUGAACAUGUGGAUGGAGGCUGAUAAAAGUUGACCUCCCUUCAUUUCUCUGGAGCCGACUCCAUGGAUUUUAGGGAUGGUGGAUAAAGAUCUGCUCUUCUAGUUGUCUUCCUUCCAGUCGCUGUAAAAAGUCACUCCAUCAACGCUGACUUCAACACCUCUUCAUGACAAGUUCUUCUGCCUCUGACCUGGUGGAAACUCGAGAAACUCGGGAAACCUGUCGAGACUCGGAUUUUCGAAAAAGCCGUCGGGCGGGGGAAGGUGUGGUGGGCGGUGGGGGAGUAGAGGGGUUCAGUGGGGGGAGGUGGGGAGUAGAGGGGGGAGGCCGCCACCCACCUCCCCUCCUACUCUCUGCCCUGACUCCACCCAGACUCCGCCUUGGCUCUGCCCAUGUGGUCGCUUGGAAACUACGAUGACAAAGGGACGACGAAAUUAUGUUCUUUCAUCUGAUCUGUAGCUCAGUGAGUUCAGGGUUUACCUAUGGAGGUGCAGGUUGCUGGUUCAAGAUCAGAUCCUUCUCAAAUUUUUUGAAAAACUUCGACAAAGAAAGAAAAAUGCUGGUGGUGGGUCUUGAACCUACUACUGUCCACUUUAUAGUCUCUCUUCUUACCCCCUGAGCUACUCACUCAGAUAUUAAUUCUUCUUUUUUUGUGCAUUUAUCAUCUAUUUUUUGCAAUUUUUGAGGGUUUUUUUUUAUAUAUAUACUCGAGUCUCGACUUGACAGUUUUUCUCAGGAGGUUGGACUUCAACCUUUGUGCUGGAGGGUUGAACCCUCAGUUCCCAGACUUUCCAAAGCCUCGAGACCUCCCGAGUCCUCAGAACCUGAGCUUUUACACAGUCUGAGGGCUGAAAUUUUCUAAGUCCCACAGUAGAUUUCAUGUUAGUUUGAGCUUUGAGACAGUCUGAGGGCUGAAAUUUAAGAAGUUCCUGAGUAGACCCCUGUUAGUUUGAACCUUUCAACAGUCUGAGGGCUGAAAUCUUUAAAGCUUCUCAGUAGUUCUGUUAGUUUGAACUUUCUGGUUAACAGAAACCUUAAAAUUUGUGACCAUAAGUCUUGAUUUCACAUUUAGACCAUCGAUCUGAGUUCUUCUCAGACCUUCACCUGUUCUUUAGAAAUCCUGAACAAACUUUGAUUCUCUUCACUGAACUGUAAAGUUUGUGGAGAUCAGAAGGUAACAUUAGUUUGAUCGUCUUCAACUACUAGUAGACUUUAACUGGAAAGCAGGUUUCUGAAAUUAAAUGAAUUCUUACUAAAUCUGUCCACAAUCAAACCAUGAACAUUGAAAGAGGAAAUGUUUGAAGAAACAACUUGAUGUUUUCAUUUUAGAUGAAAAAACACUUAUCUGUUUUUGCUUUUUUUGAUCAUUUUAAUGUCUCUUCUGUUUAAUUUGAUCUUCUAAAGUCUAACUGGUGUCUUUUCGAAUGUUUUGUCUCUAGUUUGAUUCUUUUUAAAUGUUUAGUUUUGCUCUUUUCUCACUUUUAUUCUUUUCUAAUGUCUGAUUUGAUUUGGAAAUGUUUUGUCUUUUUAAUGUUUAAUUGUUUUUUCAAAUGUUUUAUCAGCUUGUUUGAAAAAUUUCCUUUUUUUUCCCAGUAUUUAAUUUUUUAGAUUAAAUUUUUGUUAAGGUUUUCCUUUUUAAAUGUUUAGCCACCUUUCAGUGUUUAAUGUUCUUUUUAAUUGCUUCAUUGUAUUCUCUGUUUAAUUUCUAAAGUUUUAUUGCCUUGAAGAUUUCAUCCAUCCAUUCUCCUCACUAGGGUCGCGGGGGGUGCUGGAGCCUAUCCCAGCUGACUCGGGCGAAGGCAGGGGACACCCUGGACAGGUCACCAGUCUGUCACAGGGCUACAUAUACAGACAAACAAUCAAACUCACAUUCACACCUACGGGCAAUUUAGAGUCAUCAAUUAACCUCAGCAUAUUUUUGGACUGUGGGAGGAAGCCGGAGUGCCUGGAGAAAGCAUGAACAGGGAGAACAUGCAAACUCCAUGCAGAAAGAUCCCAGGCCCACCCCAGGAUUUGAACCGGGGAUCUUCUUGCUAUAAGGCGAAAGUGCUGAUGACACCACUGUGCAGUCCUGUCUUGAAGAUUUAAUUUUCUAAUUAAACAUUUAAUUUAAUUAAAUGUUUUGUCUUUUUAAAGGUUUAAUAUAAUUAAAUAUUUUGUAUUUUUUAAAUGUUUAAUAUUCUAAUGUAACUGCAAUUUUUAAAUGUUUAAUUAUCUAAAAUAAUUAAUCUUUAGUGUUUAAUCAUUUAAAAAAUUUUAUUUCAUAAUUACAUUUUGUUUCUUCUGUUUAUCUAAUUAAAAAAUUUGUCUGUUUAAUGUAAUUGUA